rnacentral:tRNA from 1 species
GGGCGUUUGGCCUAGUGGUAUGAUUCUCGCUUUGGGUGCAAGAGGUCCCGAGUUCGAUUCUCGGAACGCCCC